rnacentral:rRNA from 1 species
UUGUAAUUUGUAGAGGAUGCUUUUGGUGAGGUGCCGCCCGAGUUCCCUGGAACGGGACGCCACAGAGGGUGAGAGCCCCGUCUGGCUGGCCACCGAGCCUCUGUAAAGCUCCUUCGACGAGUCGAGUAGUUUGGGAAUGCUGCUCAAAAUGGGAGGUAUAUGUCUUCUAAAGCUAAAUAUUGGCCAGAGACCGAUAGCGCACAAGUAGAGUGAUCGAAAGAUGAAAAGCACCUUGAAAAGAGGGUUAAACAGUACGUGAAAUUGUUGAAAGGGAAGCGCUUGUGACCAGACUUGGGCGCGGCGAAUCAUCCGGGGUUCUCUCCGGUGCACUUCGCCGUGUUCAGGCCAGCAUCAGUUCGGCGCGGGGGAAAAAGGCUUCGGGAACGUGGCUGCUCCGGCAGUGUUAUAGCCCGUUGCAUAAUACCCUGCGCUGGACUGAGGACCGCGCAUCUGCAAGGAUGCUGGCGUAAUGGUCACCAGCGACCCGUCUUGAAACACGGACCAAGGAGUC